CAUAUUUCAGCUCUUUCGGCCCUUACGGAUCAAAGAUGGGCCUUGAACACGGACGUGAUCAGAUUUAUGGCAGCAGUUUUGAAAAUCAAGCCUCCUAUCAAGCCCUUCGCUCCACCAUGGGAUCUUCCCUUGGUGGCCUUAGCCUCAGGUAGACGAGUGUCUGAACUCCAUGCCUUAUCAACUAAAGAGCCCUUUACAGUUUUUCAUAAGGACAGAGUUAUUUUACGGACUGUUCCCGAAUUUCGUCCUAAAGUGGUGUCAGCU